AGUGAACGCUGGCGGUGUGCCUAACACAUGCAAGUCGAACGGAAACACAGUGAGAGCUCGCUCUUAAGGGUGGCGACGGGCGGGCGGGUGAGGCAUGCAUCAGCAUCUACUUAUUCGGGGAGGACUACGGGGAGAAGGUUAUGAUAAUAGCGCAUACGAUGUACGGGUGAAAGCAGUGGAUCUUCGCACCUUGCGCGUUUGAUUGAGAUGACGCCGGAUUAGCUAGUUGGCGGGGUAAAGUCCUACCAAGGCGACGAUGCGUAGCUGGCCUGAGAGGGUGAUCGGCCACACUGGAACUGAGACACGGUCCAGACUCCUACGGGAGGCAGCAGUGGGGAAUCUUCGGCAAUGGGCGCAAGCCUGACCCAGCCACGCCGCGUGAGUGAAGAAGGCCUUCGGGUUGUAAAACUCUGUUAUUAGGGAAGAACAACAGCGUGUGUAACUCUCCCUGUCUUGACGGUACCUAAAGAGAAAGCCCCGGCUAACUUCGUG
rnacentral:rRNA from 1 species